UACGGAGGGGGCUAGCGUUGUUCGGAAUUACUGGGCGUAAAGCGCACGUAGGCGGCUCUGCAAGUUAGGAGGUGAAAGCCCGGGGCUCAACUCCGGAAUUGCCUUUAAAACUUGCAUCGCUAGAAUUGUGGAGAGGUAAGUGGAAUUCCGAGUGUAGAGGUGAAAUUCGUAGAUAUUCGGAAGAACACCAGUGGCGAAGG
rnacentral:rRNA from 1 species